AAUCAUAUGCUCAACUAACUGAGCCCCCCAGGUGCCCCUGAGCUUCCAUUUUAAUACGUGUGAUUCUCCACUCUAUUUUGGAACCACCACAAACCAAAAACAGGAUAAUUAAAAUGCACCAAGGCCCAAAGGGGGCUGGGUUCUGACUGCUACUCUGUCCUGUGGCCAAAUAGAAAAGCUUAUCGUAUUCACCUCUCUGUCUCCCGUGUCUAGUGCCUCGGUUGGUGAGAGUGUGUAUCAAGUGUCUCUCAAACAAAUGAAAGAAUAUUGAUUUAUUUGUGUGAGCACUACCGUGUGCCAGGCCCCAUUCAGCAGUCCAAGCCCAGCUACCUGCUCAGUUAUAUUCCAGUGCAGAAUUAAGCAACUGAGGGAACCUAUAAAUAGAAACUCUAGCAGGUGUUGAUAAGAACUAACAGGAAAGUAAAGCAGGAUAAGUGGACAGAGUCACAGGGAACGAAGUGGAAGGUAUUUAGGGUCAUCAGGGAAGGUUUAUCAGUCAGGACUAACUGGUGUUUCAACAGAGAGACUUAAUACAAGGAACUGACUAAGCAGGUGAUGCAAGAGCUGAAAACCUGUACGAGAGACCGCAAGGUAACUGAGGGGUUAGCAACAGCUCGACCAACAGAGGGAGGUGGUAAUGUCCCUGGAGCCCAGGGAUGAGUCACGGGGUGGACGCUGGUGCCAUGCUAGGACUGUCUAGCAGGAGCUGGGACCCCAGAUGGAGGGCCUGUCUGUGGGACCUGGGGUCUCAGAGGAGACACAGUGAUUGUCAGAAACACAGCCUGAAGAGCGAGACAGAGACCCCGGCUCCUUCCCCGCCUGCCUGCCUUCAGGCUUCUACCCAUAGGAUGGGACACAAUGUCUGUUUCUCUCACUGUGAUAUUAGCAGUCAUUAAUCAUCAUUGCCUAGCCCUAGAUCCGUUAAUUCAUUAGUGGUUAUAAAAUGGUAGGUUUAAAAGUUCUAGCAUUUCUUUCAUUUAGCAUUUGGAAUACUCCUAUAAAAAUGAACUUCCCUUCCUCCACUAUUUGCUUGCCCUGUGGUUCAGUCUGUGUAGGGAAGGCAGGAUAAAUGCGGGAUUCUCCCUCUUCUCCCUUUUUUAACCAGUUUUCGAAGCACUGGUUCGAGAGGAUACCUAGAAUCUUCUAGAGGUCUCCACUGUGAACUCAUGGAUUGAAAUACUCACAUAAUAAAUGUGUUUCAUUUGUCAUCUUUAUCAGCGCUACUGAUGAAGUAGCUUUGUUGGUCAUCUCAUGUUUGGCCAUCGUGAGCCUGUUCACAAAAAGGCUCCUGAACUCCUGAAAUUUUUGACCCAACCUUAGUGGACUUCCUUGUUUUGGUCUCACGUUACACAUUCCUGCCGCAGACCCAAGAUCAACCAUUUCUCCAAGGAGCCUGCCCUUGUUUGAGUGUUAAAUGGUGUUUAGGAGCCAAAGUCUGUUGAGUUGCUCACUGCUCCUGGGUUGAUCAUUGUUUCCAGGCUUUUUGAGUGGGCAGAGCUAAGAAGUAAAUAUUUUUAAAAGAUAAACACAUCAAAAGUUCAUACUGAUGCUUCAAAUUCAACUUCUGGGCGACAGGGUUUUAUUUCAUUUCAGCAACCGUGCAUCUGUCUCCUUUUUUCCCAUGAUGAAAAAGCCUAACUCUGAAAGAAAGCAACUUAAUGACUCAUUGGCUUUAUGCCAUAACACACACAUAACAGUUGCAAAAUAACAGUACUACCAGCACAGUUAAAGAUUAUAAGGCUUCAUUUCCCUGCUAAAUGAGGUUUCUAUCACACCUUUAACGUUUCUUUUCUGUAUAUCUGGAGACCUUGUCAUAGGGUUGUCAUUGGUGGAAGCUUUCUAGCAGACCAUGAAUCUUCUGGACUAUGUCUUGGAAAAGUGCACCUUUCUGGCACAAAGCAUGUUGGUAGCUCCUUUCAUGAAUAGAAAAGAUUGUGCUUUGUUCCUGUCUCUGGGAAGCCAUUUAUUAAAGAUAUGCUAAAUCAGAAUCAGUGGUCUGCUAGAAAGAGUUCUGGCUAAUAAUACCAUGACUUUGUUUUCUUGAUUAAAAUGUCCAGAUAUACCCAGGGAAAAGGUCCUGUUAAACUGUGUAUAGGAGCUACAGUUUAAAAAAGCAGUUAAAUUUUAACAAGCAUUUUGGCAGGUAGGUAUAAGGUUAAAAUUUGAGCAAAAGUUAGAUUGAGGUAUUUGAGGUAGUGGCUGAGGGGACUAGUUUGUAUUCUGUUGGUAUUGUCACAGCAAGCACCAAACUGAACAAAAUGAUUUCUAUUGGGGCAUUUUUAGGAAGCUAUAUUGGGUGUUAACUGUUAACGUGAUGUGAGUUCUUAGGAAAGGUCAUGGUAGUAGAUUUCAUCAUUUUUAAUGCAUCAGUGCCUGAGCUGGGUAGCUAAGCAUACCCAGAUUCGGACAUAGGAAGGAGUAGUAGGGAAAAGUAUACUUUAAAUUUUAUGUAUGUCAGUGCAAAUCUAAGUGACUAAGUCAUUAAAACAUCUUCCUGGUGCAUCAAAAAGCAGUUUUAGCCCUAGAUUUGGGAGAAUUUCCUGGGUAAACCCAAGUUUUGAAUUUUACAUUCAGUGCAAUUGGAUUUAAGGUUUUUAAGUUUGUUUUCUGUGGUUCCACAUUAGCCACUAGGAUUGGCAUACAUGUUCACACGCAGAGUAGUUGACUUCACCUUCAAACAAAUGUAAAUUUUUUUCUGCUGAUGAACCUGUCUUUUGUUUAUUUGGUACCUGCAACUUUCUUUGUUCAAUGAUGUUUGUACUUGCUGGCUAUCAAGUUACAAUGCACUUGGCCUCCUUUUGCUCCUGUUUUGCUAUUUGACCUUAAACCUAGGCCAAGUACCAAUGUUGGUUAUUGCAAAGGACUGUUUAUUAUUUCAACAUGCAACCUUAGGGAACAAGGGAGAUUUUCAUUUUAAGUUGUUGUCAAAAUCUGUAGGUGCAGUGUCUUUAAGGCAGUGAAUCCUGUUCAAAUUUAUGAUUAGGUGAGAAGUUGACAUUGAGAUUGUCCUUUCCCUGAUCAAAAAUGAAUAAAGGCUUUUUAAACAAAA